CAAGUGUGGUAUUUCUUUUGCCCUCGCAAAUACAGGAACUCAAAUAGUCACAAGGCGAAAAGGACGACGAAUGCUGGAUACUGGAAGGUCACAAGCAAGGAUCGUAAAAUCAACGAUAAAAAAGAAUUUGGUUUUCUAUCAAGGUCGUCAUAAAGGGGAGAAGACCAACUGGAUCAUGCAUGAGUACAAUCCCACCUUCAACUUCCCAACCCAGA
rnacentral:misc_RNA from 1 species